rnacentral:misc_RNA from 1 species
AUAAAGAUUUUUGUGGUGUUGACGUUGUUGUUGUGGUUUUCACUUUUUCACAGUUUAUUUAUUGUAAGUGCUGAUUGAUGAAUAUCUGAAUAUACAAUAAAUAAUAUACAUUAAGUUAUCAUUCAACGGUUUAAGUUUAACGCUUAGAAGAAUUGUUAAGCGUUAUACUGUGACAAAGUUAUUGCAAUAAGUGAAAAGAUGGAAGCAAUAAAACAAGAAACCAUUGAGGAGAUCUGUGAAGUAAAAAUAGAGAAUAAUGGAUUGGAUGAUGCUCUUUUGGAUAGCUUUAAAUGUGAAAUUAAGGAAGAAGAUGAUAGCUUUAAAUGUGAAGUUAAGGAAGAAUCCAAUCUCGAAAGUACUGAUGAUAUCUUUGAUUGUUCAGCUGUGAAGGAAUUUCCCAUAAAGACUGAACUAGAACAAGAUGGAAAUAAACUGAUCAGUUUUAAAGGAAAACGAAAAAUCAAAGAGGAUGUAUAUCCAGUUGAGUUAGGCCAGCUGCAUACUAUUGAAUUGGAAGAAAUUGCAGAAGCAGGAACAAGUCAACAAACUUCUGCUAGAAAUAAAGAAGAACAAACUUCGAAAAGAAGGCUUGUCUCUUCAAAUAUCAAGGACGCAUGCGAAGUUUGGGUAAGGAGCCUCACUGUACUAGUGGAAGAAAUGAAGGCAAUCAGGCAAGAAGUGGCAAAAGCGGCAAUAAUCAAUAAGGGCAAGGUGAAAUUAGAAUAUUUUAGGAUAUUUCAAACUUUUGACGGGUUUGAGGACUUUUGGGAUAAUUUGUAACAUGAUCAUCAUCAGUGGCAUCACAUCUCUGGCUCGUUGUCCCAGCCCUCUUCCCCGAGAGAAACCUUUGUGACUUGCACCUACCUCUCGCCUGAUUACAUGCCAUAGUUUGACUCAAGAGGACAACAAAAUGAAACCUAUAGAACCAUUUUUUGAACAUUCAUCACAAGGACAAAGCGGGCACGCUGAAGAAAAAGCCGUAAAUAAAAAUGUAGCAGUUCAAAUUAUACAAAGACCUUACAAUUGUGAAAUCUGUUUGAAGAAGUUUUCUCAGCACAAAAGUUUGAAAAGACACACUAUA